rnacentral:tRNA from 1 species
ACGGAAGUGGUGGAAUUGGUGACACGCUAUCUUGAGGGGGUAGUGGCCUUUGGCUGUGCGGGUUCAAGCCCCGCCUUCCGCACCA